rnacentral:lncRNA from 1 species
GUUAGGGCAUAAGGAGUUUUGAUGAUAGACAUGUGAAUGAAAUACGUUGAAGAAGCUGGUCCAUUCAAGGUGAAAUAGUCUAGCUGGCACAGGAGUUUGGAUGAUAUGAUUAUGUGUUCAAGACAAACUUAGAUAACAUUGAUUACAUCAGAAGCCGAGUUAGAUCAGACUAGAAGUCUUGAAGAAGUCAAGUUGAUCAAGGAGUUCAGUAAGAAGAGGAUUUGAAUUAAAAGAAUCCUAUCAAAACUAGGAGAGAUGAGGCGGCAGCAAAAGGGAAAAGAAUUAACUGAUAAAGUUCUACUAAAGAAAGAAUUGAACAUCAAAAAGGACUCUAUCACAGGUUGGCUUAAAUACAACAAACAUGACUCAAAGCCAGCACUCACGCACGUACUGAAAAAGUCAAUCAACAAUCAGCAUAUAUACUUGAAGAAGACCCAAGCCUCUUACUUAGCAGGUCAUAAACUGUGUAGUAGUUAGGUUCUG